CAUUGGGAAGCAAGCCUAGAGCCUAGAGACAAACUGCUGAAGCCAAAUGCAGGGCAAGAUGCACUUCCUAACAGCAAAGUGCAUUAGGCAGUGACGAAGUUUCCCAAAGGAAGCCCCAUCACUUGAAUCACUGGAAAUAAGGCCGGACAAAAUACUGGAUCAUGUCCAAGAGGGGAUAACUAUUCAGCAGCAAGGAGAGAGUAGUGAAUAAGAUGAAUACUUUAGUGUUUUCCAUCUCCAUGAAUCUAUGUAUCUAAUGCACUCAGUGCUUUUUCAAUGUCUGAAAAAAAUGUAAGUGCCUUUCCUGUGCCAUCAGCACAUCUCAGCAUGGAGACAGUAUGGCGAGAGACCUGGGUGGGAGCACACAACCAUCUCCUUUGGUGCCCAGGGACAGAGGAGUGGAAAAACUGAACGACCCAAUGAGGAACUGGACUGGCCUGCUCUCUGCCUGCUGACUAACAUCCAGUGGUCUGCGGCAAGCCUUGAGCCGGGGAGCUUUUCCAUCGCUGAGCAACGCUUCAUGCAAAGCCCACCAUCCCCUUUGGGCCCCUUCCCUGCGUCUGCAUCAACAGGAGGAAACAAGCAUCACAUCCUGUGGCCUGUGCCAAGGAAAACAGGAGCGCUGCCGGGAGGGAAGGAGGUGUGGGAGUAGGGGUGCAGCCCUGCUGCCCCAGCAGCCUCCCCGCCAAGGGCUGCCCACCUCCUGGUGUGGGGGAUGCUGGCACCCCUUGGGGCUCCCUUGGGAAUGAGACAUGACUGAAAAUGUGAAAAUGUGCAGGAGCUGAAAAUGGGUCUGGACUUUGAGGGAAAAGGCAGAAAAUUCAGCAGUUUGUCAACAUCUUUGUCCCCACUCCCCUUGUCUAUCAGCAACUAAAAACUCUCCUGAACAAAGUCCUUCCUUUACAGACAGUGCUUGCCUCCUGCACUACCCCACAGCAGCCCCAUGGGCCCCCAUGCACCCCAGGCUGGGUGGCCACAGCCCUGCAAUUUUGGGGGACCAACAGGGGCUACAUCCCACUUCAGGGCCCCUUAAAUAAGAGCCCAAGCCAAGAAGAUUUCUCUGUGGAAUUUCAUAAGGAAGCACAUGACGAGGGCAGUUGGAAACCACAGCUCUUCGAGCACUGAUUACAGCCUACUGAGGAAAAGGAGAUUUUUAUCUUGCAGGAAUUCAAUUAUGAGACCAGGGGAAAAAAAAAAUAAAGAAAGAAAGACAAGAAAAAGGAGGAAAAAUAUGCAGUGCAUCUGGCUUGGUUAGCCUGAGAUUUUUGCACUUUGGGGGCUUUAAUUUAACAAGAAAGGUGUGCAAGCAUUACCUAAAUCAUCGUGCUUGCUGGUGUGUGCGCGGUGGUGGUUUUUUUAAGAGGGAAAAAAAAAAAAAAUCCACCCCCAAAGUCACCCUGCUGGCAGCUGAAUGCAGCAGGGAUGAUGUCAUUGGAACAGUUGGAGGAGAAAAGAGAAAAACAAGUCUGUGUGUGCUAAUCCUGUUUGCUGCCCUAAAGGGAAUGGAAAGCCGCCAAGGCGAGGAGUUCUGGGAAACCAUAUAAGGGUGCCAAACAAGCGCCGCCGCCAACACGGGGAACUGACAUCUUUGUUCUCCCCAGCUCGGCAGCCGGCCAAAGGCCUCAUUUCGGCGCUGCAGCAUGAUUACACUGGACAUCUGCCAGCUGAGCGCUGAGCCCCUUUUCUUCUCCGUAAGCUUUUUGCCAAACAUGUAACAGUUGCCAUGGCAGUCGCAAGUAAAGUAGGAAAAGAAAAUGAAAUAAAAAAAUAACGCGCACGUAUAGAUAGAGAGGGAGAUAAAAAACCAACAAGAGAGCGGAGGCACGCCUUGCUCCAGAUGCGCCACAUCUGUGGGUAUAAAAGGCAAGCAAACUUAUUAAUCAGAGAUUUCGGGGACGGAGGGAGGGCGGGAGCAGGGCUGAGAGGUGACGUGAGGAUAAAACAAUAAGUUCACACAGGCACACGCACACCGCAGCGGCGGUGGGCUGACCCGGUGCUCUCCUCCCCUGCCUGCGUCCGAAACUGCAGGCAAGCAGCCUUUAAAA